ACACCUCACUGUCUGCGCGUGGUCCCCGUGCGAUGUUCGGACUUUGUACUACGCGUUAUUAUAAAAGGUAGAUGACUUUUAGUUAAUUGGUUCACUUGACGGACAGGGACGAAAGAGAAUUGGUGUAUAUUCAGGACAUCCGAUAUAAGGUACAUUGUACAUAGCUGUUAGUUAACAUAAAGACACUUCGUUGGAUAUGGAAGCUAUCGACUUUUGGCGACUGGCUACUUUUAUCUCGAUUUUCCUUCUCAUCGCUUUCAUCUUGUCGUGGUUGUGCUUUUGGACUCAAAACAAAAUCAGGAAAAGGAAGUUACAGGAAUCAGAUCAAAAACUCCUUGGCGCAACAGCUGUCCCCGAUAUCAUAAUUGUUGGUCAAAGUGAUGUAUCCAAAACUGAGCCGUAGUGGUUGACCUGUUUAGGAUAACUUCGGAACUUUCAAGGAAUGCGUAUCACCUUGACGAAGUGUAUAUAUCACCCCUACCCACCCCCACCCCCCAAUCGAAUCGUGAAACGUUCAGAUACAUGUACAAGUUCAAUGGCGAGCUUUGAUGAAGACAACAGAAGUAGUAUGUGGAUUCCAGACGCCGCAGAAAAUAAAACAAAACAAUGCAAUACAUCGGUUAGUUUACCAGGGCAGAUGACAUUGACAUAUUACCUAUAACAGUCAAAGGCUAGUGGCUAAAUUAAGAUGGUGUCGAUGCGUCUGGAUCUGCGUAAUAAGUUGGUGAUAUAAUAUAAAAAGUAAAAUCCACGUGGAGACACUCGUGUGUAUCAUGGUUUAAAACUGACUCAGCUCUCAUGUGGUGCUAAUAUGCAUAAACUGUGAUCACGCUAGCUCAGCGUGAUACCUAGCAGAGGUGAUUAUCGGGCGAAAGGUUAUUUUUCAGUUUUUUGUUCUAAAACAAAUGCAUAAGUCGUUUAGAUGAAUAAUUUAUAAGAUACAACAUUUGUAUAUUUCUUGUGACCAGAACCUUUGAAGCUCGCCUUAAAUGAGAAUAGAAUCUCGCUGUCUACAAGAACGGUCAUUAGUUACAUUUGCUUGUUACAUACAUGUAUCAACUUAUGUUUGGCAUUUGCAAUUGAAAUGAUAAUUGUACAUGUAAAAAAUAUAUUUCAUGUGGCAGAAAUGUAUAAUAUUGUUUAUAAGUUAUAUGGAUUGUGUGAUUGGAAUCAAAAGGUCAUUUAGAACAUUUAUGUUUUUAGUAUUUACCUUAAUAUUUAAAGUAUAGUCAUUCGUGAGGUUAGACUGAUGGUAGUUCUCGUUCCGCGUUCUAUUUUAUCACUGCCAUUUACAUGUGACAGACUGUUAGUGCGGAAGCAGUAGUUUGCAGUAUUCCGGAAUUGCUGGCGAAAGUUCGUUGUGUGAUUUUAGUGAUUUGCAGUAUCCGGAAUUGCUGGCGAAAGUUCGUUGUGUGAUUUUAGUGAUUUGCAGUAUUCCGGAAUAGCUGGCGAAAGUUCGUUGUGUGAUUUUAGUGAUUUGCAGUAUUCCGGAAUUGCUGGCGAUAGUUCGUUGUGUGAUUUUAGUGAUUUGCAGUAUCCGGAAUAGCUGGCGAAAGUUCGUUGUCGUCAUCAUCAUCAAACUUUUUCCCCCUAAGAGUAAAAUACAAUGAAAUCGACAGAAUAAAUAGCAAUAAUACAAAAAGAUAGUGAGAUGAGUUCAGUUAACACGGGUGGAGAGAGAAACUGCAAAGCAGGUUAUUCAUUUCGCGUUCCGAAAUUAUAUGCUAAAUUCGAACUGGAUUUAAGCACGUACCUUGAACGAUGAACCAAACCGCUUAAUUAGGAAUCGCUUCUUGGCAACAUCAUCUCAACGUGGUACCUUAUAAUGUUUGGCUAUCGUUUUUGCGUGUGGUAGCGCUGAAAACACACACAGGCAAAACUCAGGAAGGACUUCUUGUAAGAAAAAUUCACGGAUAUUACUGGUAUACGUGAAGUUGGAGCAGUUCAUUUGUGUCUCAUGAAUAUCAACCUUAUCUUUAAUAAAUUAUCUAAGAUUAUCAUGUUUGUUUACAGCGCGAGUGUUAUUGUUGCGUAAAUAUGUUUUAUGUUUUUUGUUGAAUAUGUUGAUUUAUUAAAAAAAAUGUAAAACGUGAAA